AUUUCAGAUAAAGGGAGUCCGUUAAUGUGUAGUAAGGCUCACUUGCUUAAGGACAGACAAAGCCACAGUUCAGCGGUUUCUUCUCUUCUGACCACUGAACAUGUGGGUGUUUUGCUUGGUUGGUUUUAUUUGUAAGCCCGAGGAAGUCAAAAGUAGCAGCAACAUGAUUGUCACAGUAAUCUAUUUACACAUACAUUAUUACUCCAGUCUACCAGCACCCAGUUAUUGCCAAUAAUGAUUACUUAUUGACCAAUUAAUGACAGAAGUUUCUACACUGGGGAGGGGGGGACAGGAAGAAGGAUGGCUUCUUGUAUCUUAUAAGUGGUCCUGUUCUUCUUACUUCUGGUGACCUGCUCAUUCGGUAAAUUGAGAAGUGCCUGCUCCCAGUUGGGAAACUAAUCAAAUCUUUACAUAAUUUUCAUUGACUUGGACGGCUGAAGGUCCUAAUCAAACAUGAACUGCAAAUGGCUUUGGCUCAUGGCCAUUGUUCUAAUUUUAGGAUUCAGCAGUUUGGCAGAUGCUAGAAGGAUAAGGCCACCACCACGUAGACCACCAAGAAGAAAAAGUUGCAACGUGGCUCCAAGGAACAGACGGGACUGUGGUUAUCCAGGGAUCAGUAAACGAACAUGUGAAAGUAAAGGGUGCUGCUUUAGCGGCAGGAUCCAAAAUGCCAAGUGGUGUUACUAUCAUGGAUGAUUGAAAUGAAAUAGUGACAGCAUCCUGGAAGCUCUUGCAGUAGAAUUCUUGAAAAACAGAAGCUUUAAAUCUACCUCUGAAUCUCAACUUCGCAACUAUAGUACAUGGUUAGCUGUUGCUGCUGUUUGGAAAGCAGAAGUUUAUUUUCUUCCUCUCCCCUUGGCUGUAUUAUAUUUAUGGCCAUGCUUUUUGCAUUACAGUUGCAUUAAAGGCAAAGCAUCACAAAAAACAUUGUGUGUUUUAUUUCUGUUUUUCAUACUCCUGACACUUUUCUCAUUUUAAA
rnacentral:lncRNA from 1 species